CACUUUGACAAUUGAUGUUCUCCUGCAAGAAACCCCAUUAAGAAAUCAAACACUGAAUCAAAAUGUCCAAGAAUGAACAAAUUGCCCGUAGCAAGGUAACACGACAAGGGGCAUUAAAUUCAUCUAUCUGUUGAACUUAAAGCAUGAAGUCACAAUCUAGAAGCUAAAAUACAAACGGAUAUUACAUAAAUGCAGCACUGAGAACAUCAAACUGGACAAAGUGAUACAAACAGGAGUACCAACCCAGUUGGUAAUAUUAAUGAGCAACUAAUUCAUAUCAAUGCAGAAGGAAAAUGACGGUGAACUAACAUGGAGAUUACAGAAAAUGAGGGAAUCAUUACAGAGGGAUUGAAGAAAAAGGAGGUAGGUGAUCAAAUGGAGCUAGAGGAGGAUGAGCUGGAAGACUUGUUCACACUAAAUGAGCUCAGAAGAUCAAGGAGACAAAUUAAGGAACCCACGUGGCUGCAAGGAUACAACAGGGGAAGAAAAGGAAACACUAGAUAGUUUGUUAGGUGAUGUCAGUCUUUAAUCCAAGGGUUGAUAGAUAACUAGUUAUUAAUAAAAGAUGUAGGGUUGAGAUGAAUUAUCUAGAAUCUUGUACUAGAUGCCUAUAAGUAUCUUAUUUGGGGCUAAAGUUAAGAUAAGGAAGUAUUAUAUCUUUUACUCCGUUUUCUUUCUUUUCUGCUAAAAUUCUCUAAAGUCUAGCUGAAGACUAUAAUUUCAGCAUCAUUGGUGCUUUCAUUAUGACUGAACCAAACCGGAUAGAACAGUUGUUUGAACAAUUCAAUCAACAGUUCAAUCAAUUUACUCAAACAUUCACCCAACAAUUUCAACAAACUUUCACUGCUGUGAUGCAAGAUCAGAUGCAACAUUGGAGACCAGCCGGCCGAGAGGAACACCCACCGGACCCACCUCCAGUUGAUCGCCAGCAGGAUGAUUUCCAAAGGCGAGCCAAGGUGAAUUUUCCUAGAUUUGAGAGUGGAGAUCCUAUUGAAUGGCUCUACAAGGUGAACAAAUAUUUCGAAUAUCAUAAAAUUUCUGAGGACAACAAAUUAUCAUUGGUUGCUUUACAUCUUGAUGGAGCUGCUUCCAGUUGGUUUCAAUGGAUGGAAACGAACCACCUGGUAAGAUCUUGGGCUGAUUUUACUUUUCAAUUGCAUAUUAGAUUCGGACCCUCUCCAUAUGAUGAUUCCCAAUACCUACAGUGGAUGAGCUAUUUGAUGAGUUACAUAAUGCACGAUUCUAUUCCAAGAUUGACUUAAAAUCUGGAUACCACCAAACCAGAAUGGCUACAGAGGAUAUCCACAAAACUGCCUUCCGAACUCACAGUGGCCAUUAUGAGUUCUUGGUAAUGCCUUUUGGCCUAUCCAAUGCUCUUUCAACUUUUCAGGCAACUAUGAACUCUAAUUUUCAACAAUACUUAAGGCAGUUUGUUAUCAUCUUCUUUGAUGAUAUUUUGGUUUACAGUUCUGAUUUACCUUCUCAUGUGCAACAUUUAUCCCUAGUACUCAAUUGUUUAAGAACAAACUCUUUUUAUGCUAAACUUUCGAAGUGUCAAUUUGUUGUUACUAACAUUGAGUACUUAGGACAUAUAAUCUCUCAUCAAGGGGUGCAGCCUGAUACGAACAAAAUAGCGGCUAUACUGUCUUGGCCUAAACCAGCAACUGUGAAACAACUCCGGGGUUUCUUAGGUCUCACUGGAUAUUAUAGAAAGUUUGUUAGAGGAUAUGCAGCCAUUGCAGCCCCUUUAACAGACUUACUAAAACAUGAUGCCUUUGUAUGGAAUGCCAAAGCUACCACAGCAUUCUUACAGCUUAAAGAAACCCUCACAAAUGCGCCAAUGCUAGCUUUGCCAGAUUUCAGCCAACCAUUCUCUUUGGAAACUGAUGCUUCAACUUACGCAAUUGGUGUUGUACUCACCCAAGCAAACCAUCCCACCGCUUACUUCAGCAGGAAAUUAUGCCCAAGAAUGCAACAAGCUUCUACUUACCUUAGAGAACUAUUUGCCAUUACUGCUGCAAUAGCAAAAUGGAGACACUAUUUGCUCGGUUCUAAAUUCUACAUUUACACAGACAAACAGAGUUUACAGAACCUCAUGCAACAGGUCAUUCAAACUCCCGAACAGCAAUACUAUCUCACUAAGUUGUUGGGAUAUAUACCUAUGAGAUCAUCUACAAACCCGGCAAGCAUAAUGCAGCAGCCGAUGCCAUGUCUCGACACCCAACCCAUACACCAUGCCCAGCUUACACAGGUACCUUAUUAGCCCUUACUAUGCCUACAUUUCAAAUACUUGAGGAUAUCAAGCAAGCUCCUCAACAUUCAGCCAUUGAACUACAAUCGAUCUCCAACACUCCACCUUGGUCUAUAAAAGAGGGUCUUUACUUCUACCGGGACAAACUAUACAUUCCAAAUAUUUCCUCACUAAAGAAUUCUAUCAUGAGAGAGUUCCAUAAUUCAGCUGAAGGAGGGCAUGGGGGUACACAGAAGACUUUUAUGAAGCUCACGGCAAAUUUCUACUGCCCUCAGAUGCGGAGAGAUGUCAAAGUUUACAUAAAACAUUGUACAGUUUGUCAACAAGUCAAAGCUAUAAAUGUCAAUCCAUAUGGUCUUUUACAGCCAUUGGAAGUCCCCAACCAUAUCUGGGAAGACAUAAGCAUGGAUUUCAUCACCCAUCUUCCUGCAUCUCAGGGAUAUACCUGCAUUUUGGUGGUGGUAGACAGGUUCUCCAAAGCUGCUCACUUUGGUCCUUUACCUACAAGCUACACUACAUCAAAGGUAGCCUCUCUUUUUUGGGAUAUAGUAACCAAACACCAUGGCAUCCCUAAAUCGAUUGUAAGUGACAGGGAUGUAAUAUUCCUAUCCAAGUUCUGGAAGGAGCUAUUACAAGGAACAACAUUGAAGAUGUCCUCUUCCUAUCAUCCUCAGACUGAUGGACAAUCUGAGGUAGUUAACAGAUGCCUAGAACAAUAUUUGAGAUGCUUUGUCUCUGCUGAACCCCACCAAUGGCAUAGAUUCCUAGGCUUAGCUGAAUGGUUUUACAACACAUCUUAUCAUUCCACAAUACAACAAACCCCUUUUGAAGUUGUAUGUGGAAAGAAACCGCCAUCCCUUGCUCAAUACAUACCGGGCACUGCACAAGUGAAAGCAGUUGACAUCACACUGCAGACAAGAGAUGCAAAGUUGCAAAGUUUGAAAAACACCCUGACUUCAGCCCAGGUGAAAAUGAAACUUCAAGCAGAUAAACAACGCACAAAUUUCAGCUUCAACAUAGGGGAUUUGGUACUCGUCAAGUUACAACCUUAUAGACAAUAUAGUGUGCAAUACAGAUCUUCCUAAAAGCUAAACAAAAGGUACUAUGGACCCUAUCCUGUCAUUGAGAAGAUUGGACAAGUUGCUUACAAACUUCAAUUACCAACCCACUCUAAAAUCCAUCCAGUAUUUCAUAUCUCUUCUAAAAAAAUUCCAUGGGAACAGUCCACCACCAUCAGUAUCUUUACCACCACACUCUUAUCAUAACCAACCCAUACUUCAUCCAAUUGCCAUUCUAGAUACCAGGAAGAAAUUGGUCAACAAUCACUGGGAGUCUCAAAUUCUAGUCCAGUGGGAUGGUCUGCCAUUAGAUGAAGCUACUUGGACCUCCACUACACAAUUCCAGUCUACUUAUCCAACUUUUCACCUUGAGGACAAGGUGUCCCUUGAAGGGGUGAGUAUUGAUACAAACAGGAGUACCAACCCAGUUGGUAAUAUUAAUGAGCAACUAAUUCAUAUCAAUGAAGAAGCAACAUCAAUGCAGAAGGAAAAUGACGAUGAACAAACUAACAUGGAGAUUACAGAAAAUGAGGGAAUCAUUACAGAGGGAUUGAAGAAAAAGGAGGUAGGUGAUCAAAUGGAGCUAGAGGAGGAUGAGCUCAGAAGAUCAAGGAGACAAAUUAAGGAACCCACAUGGCUGCAAGGAUACAACAGGGGCAGAAAAGGAAACACUAGAUAGUUUGUUAGGUGAUGUCAGUCUUUAAUCCAAGGGUUGAUAGAUAACUAGUUAUUAAUAAAAGAUGUAGGGUUGAGAUGAAUUAUCUAGAAUCUUGUACUAGAUGCCUAUAAGUAUCUUAUUUGGGGCUAAAGUUAAGAUAAGGAAAUAAUAUAUCUUUUACUCUGUUUUCUUUCUUUUCUGCUAAAAUUCUCUAAAGUCUGGCUGAAGACUAUAAUUUCAGCAUCACAAAGACUACAACAUUGUAAUUUUACCCAAUAUAGCAUAUGAAUACCUUGUUACUGGUGCAAACUGAUCCUUCAGCAGUUCAGCACAAAUGGCAUUACUCAUUGGAGCUUUGAAGAAACUCAAUAAUAUUAAAGAGAUUCACAAAACUAUCAAACUGAAAAGCAUCAGUUUGCUUCCAAAGAACUUCUAUAAUAUGACCAUAUUGUAUUCAAUUGUCAAUAAAUGAUAAUGAAAAGAGUACUUCCAAUACACGAGAGUUUAUGCACGCCCAAAAUUUGGAGUAAUUGAUUUCGUUUUUUAUUACUUCAUCUAGACCCAAAAAGUACACAUCUUCACAAUGAAGGGGUUUGGAGGAAUGUGUGUGUGUGAUUAUGUUUCAAACCAAAAGUCCAACUCUCCUUUCCAGGAUGUUCCAAAACAGCAGGCCAUUGAAACUCUAGGUGGUUAAUAUCAUGAGAUGAAGUCUUUUGUUUAGGAAAGAGAGAGCAUUUAGAUUGGAAACAAUAUCCAAAAGGCCAAUGAGUUAAGGAAAAACCGAAAAAACAACCAUACCUUUGGGCCAACUGGUUUUCCCCCAUCAUUCUUUACUGGUUUGUUUGCCUUGGUUGCUUUCUGAACCUGUGCCAGGGCUCCGGAUACCUUCCUUCUGGUCAUGGAAUUCUGACUAGCAGCCAUUAUCUGUAAUGCAUUGUCUCUAUCAGCACCUGGAAAUCUAUUACCCUGAUCACCGGCUCGAACUUUAUCCUUAUCUUUAGAACCAGUCCACUGAUCUGGAUUGUUGAUCCCGUGUGGCAUCAAAACUUUUGUUUGCACAGUAGGAUGUUGAACCUGCAAGAUUUAAGAACAAUUUAGAAACCAUGCUUGCAGCCUGUUCACAAGAACAUUUAAAUAUCAAAACUAAAUACGAUAAGCAGCAUAAUCAAGAAUGAUUAUGAAAAAGGCAAACUUCUAAUGCCUAUUUUCCAGUGCAUAUGUUGUUUAUGGUAUCAAAAUUUAUCAAUAGUUAGCUUUAUCUAAGAAAAUUAUCAAUAAUUAGUUUUAUCUAAAAAACUAUCAAUGGUUAGUAACAAUUCUCAAAGUUCAUGAUAAUUGCAGUAACCCAACUGAGGCACAUGCUUCAGUUAACCCAAUCAAAAUGUUUCAAUUUUGCAGCUUCUCACCUUUGCUUUUGAAGUUUCAUGGUUAACGGAAUUCC
rnacentral:lncRNA from 1 species